UCCAUCAAAACACUGCAAAUUAAACCCUCUCCCAAAUUCCCAAUUCUCCAAUCAAACCUCUGUUUACAAAUCACGCCGAUGGCUCCUCCACCAACUGGUCUUGUAAUUCUUGGUCCUCCAGAGAUCAACAAGCCCACCCCAACACCGCAACCCGAACCCGCCUUCGGUGAUUCGAUGAGCGGAUCAAACAGAGCCAGACCCCCAAUGGGCCUCACCGAGAACGGCUCAGCCACCUUCCUCACCUCCUCAAACCCCUGCCUCGAUAUGAUCUUCCACGUCGUCCCGGACUCUCCGGCCUCCUAUCUCAACAAACAGCUCCCGCUGGCCUGGGCCCACGACUCCCUCACCACUCUCAAACUCAUCUGCAACCUCAGAGGCGUCCGUGGCGCAGGAAAGUCCGACAAGGAAAGCUUCUACACGGCGGCAUUUUGGCUCCACAAAAACCACCCCAAAACCCUCGCCUGCAACCUCGCCUCUUUCGCCGAGUUCGGCUACUUCAAAGACAUGCGCGAGAUUCUGUACCGCCUUCUAGAAGGCCAAGACGUGAGGAAGAACCAAAAGGACCAGUGGUCAAUGAGAAAACGCCGAUGGGGCGGUAGCAAGAGGAGACCAGUGGUUCGGCGAGUGGCACGGAGACGUCGUCCGAGUUAUAAAAUUGGUAAAUCGAAAACCAAAGCGGUGGUCACUCCGGCCAUCAGCAGCCGGAAGAGUGUGCCUAAAGAGGUUCGGGUAAUGAAGGGGAUGGAGAGGGUAAAAUUGGAAAAGGAAACAGCGAGCUCUGCGAGGAAAGAAAAGAAGAUAGCCAUGGCCAAGAAGGCCAUUGCCAGGUACCAGCGUGACCCGGAUUACCGGUUCUUGCACCAGAGGGUUUCGGAUCUUUUCGCAGAGUGCUUGAAGUCCGAUGUAGAAAAAUUCAAGUCGGAUGAUAAGCAUAAGAAGAUGACUCUGGCUGCCAAGUGGUGCCCUUCCCUUGACUCCUCCUUCGACCGCGCCACUUUGCUCUGCGAAGCCAUUGCGAGGAAGGUGUUUCCCCGAGAAUCGUACCAGGAAUAUGAAGGUAUGGAGGAAGCACAUUACGCCUACAGAGUCAGAGACCGGCUGAGGAAGGAGGUGUUGGUGCCGCUGAGGAAGGAGUUGCAGUUGCCCGAGGUUUACAUGGGUGCCAACCAAUGGGGUGCUAUUCCGUACAAUCGAGUGGCCUCUGUGGCCAUGAAGCUUUACAAAAGUAAGUUUUUGGAGCACGACAAUGAGAGGUUUAGCAAGUAUUUGGAGGACGUGAAAGCCGGCAAGUCCACAAUUGCGGCGGGUGCUUUGCUUCCGCAUGAGAUCAUAGCCCAACUGAAUAAUAUGGGGUGGCCUUCUUCUUACGAUGACCAGAAUGACGAUGACUAAGACCAGAAUGACGAUGACAAGGAAGAUCAAGUGGCCUUGCUUCAGUGGAAGAAAAUGGUGGAUGACAUGCUAAAGGAAGGGAAGCUGAAGAAUAGCUUGGCUGUAUGUGACGUCUCGGACAGCAUGGCUGGAACCCCAAUGGAGGUGUCUUUGGCUUUGGGAUUGUUGGUAUCCGAACUGACUGAAGAGCCAUGGAAGGGAAAGGUCAUCACUUUCAGUGGAAACGCUCGGCUGCAUUUGAUUGAAGGGGAUGACCUUAGUUCCAAGUGUGAAUUUGUGAGGAGGAUGGAUUGGGGCAUGAACACUGAUUUUCAAAAGGUGUUUGAUUUGCUUCCCCAAGUGGCCGUGAAUGGGAAUUUGAAGCCAGAGCAUAUGAUCAAGAGGAUCUUCGUGUUCAGCGACAUGGAGUUCGAUGAGGCUUCGAGUAAUAGUUGGGAGACUGAUUAUGAGGUAAUACAGAGGAAGUAUAAGGAGAAAGGGUACAAGAAUGCAGUGCCACAGAUCGUGUUUUGGAAUCUGAGGCAUUCUAUGUCUACGCCAUUGCCGAGCACAGAACCAGGGGUGGCGCUGUUGAGUGGCUUCUCCAAGAAUUUGAUGACGAUAUUCUUGGAUGGGGAUGGGGACAUUCGCCCGGAUCUUACCAUGGAAGCAGCCAUCUCCGGCGAAAAGUAUCAGAAGCUGGUUGUGAUAGAUUGAUGAUAUGAUCAUCAACAUUCAUUCAUGUCUCCUGUAAAAAAUUCAUAAAUAAGUUGACGUUUUAUGUUUGGCCCUUUC